UGGGGAAUAUUGGACAAUGGGCGCAAGCCUGAUCCAGCCAUGCCGCGUGAGUGAUGAAGGCCUUAGGGUUGUAAAGCUCUUUCACCGGAGAAGAUAAUGACGGUAUCCGGAGAAGAAGCCCCGGCUAACUUCGUGCCAGCAGCCGCGGUAAUACGAAGGGGGCUAGCGUUGUUCGGAAUUACUGGGCGUAAAGCGCACGUAGGCGGACUUUUAAGUCAGGGGUGAAAUCCCGGGGCUCAACCUCGGAACUGCCUUUGAUACUGGAAGUCUGGAGUAUGGAAGAGGUGAGUGGAAUUCCGAGUGUAGAGGUGAAAUUCGUAGAUAUUCGGAGGAACACCAGUGGCGAAGGCGGCUCACUGGUCCAUUACUGACGCUGAGGUGCGAAAGCGUGGGGAGCAAACA
rnacentral:rRNA from 1 species